rnacentral:rRNA from 1 species
AACCUUUUGAGUUUUUUUCUGGCUCAGGACGAACGCGGGCGGCGUGCCUAAUACAUGCAAGUCGAGCGGACCGACGGGAGCUUGCUCCCUUAGGUCAGCGGCGGACGGGUGAGUAACACGUGGGUAACCUGCCUGUAAGACUGGGAUAACUCCGGGAAACCGGGGCUAAUACCGGAUGCUUGAUUGAACCGCAUGGUUCAAUCAUAAAAGGUGGCUUUUAGCUACCACUUACAGAUGGACCCGCGGCGCAUUAGCUAGUUGGUGAGGUAACGGCUCACCAAGGCGACGAUGCGUAGCCGACCUGAGAGGGUGAUCGGCCACACUGGGACUGAGACACGGCCCAGACUCCUACGGGAGGCAGCAGUAGGGAAUCUUCCGCAAUGGACGAAAGUCUGACGGAGCAACGCCGCGUGAGUGAUGAAGGUUUUCGGAUCGUAAAACUCUGUUGUUAGGGAAGAACAAGUACCGUUCGAAUAGGGCGGUACCUUGACGGUACCUAACCAGAAAGCCACGGCUAACUACGUGCCAGCAGCCGCGGUAAUACGUAGGUGGCAAGCGUUGUCCGGAAUUAUUGGGCGUAAAGCGCGCGCAGGCGGUUUCUUAAGUCUGAUGUGAAAGCCCCCGGCUCAACCGGGGAGGGUCAUUGGAAACUGGGGAACUUGAGUGCAGAAGAGGAGAGUGGAAUUCCACGUGUAGCGGUGAAAUGCGUAGAGAUGUGGAGGAACACCAGUGGCGAAGGCGACUCUCUGGUCUGUAACUGACGCUGAGGCGCGAAAGCGUGGGGAGCGAACAGGAUUAGAUACCCUGGUAGUCCACGCCGUAAACGAUGAGUGCCUAAGUGUUAGAGCCGCUUCCCGCCCCCCCGCCCCGCAGCCCCCGCAUCCCAGCAACUCCCCUUUGGAGUACG